rnacentral:rRNA from 1 species
UACGUAGGGAGCAAGCGUUGUCCGGAAUCAUUGGGCGUAAAGCGUGCGCAGGCGGUCUGUUAAGACAGGUGUGAAAUCCCCGAGCUCAACUUGGGAAUUGCGCUUGUUACUGGCAGGCUAGAGUGUGGCAGAGGGGGGUGGAAUUCCACGUGUAGCAGUGAAAUGCGUAGAUAUGUGGAGGAACACCGAUGGCGAAGGCAGCCCCCUGGGUUAACACUGACGCUCAGGCACGAAAGCGUGGGGAGCAAACAGG